GACAUCAAAAAACAUCAAUAAAUGUCAUAGUAUAGUAAGACAUCAAAAACCACCAAAAAAUGUCAUUGUAUAGUCAGGCUUUAAAAAUUGACAAAAAAUGUCAUAGUAUAGUAAGACAUCAAAAACCAUCAAAAAAUGUCAUAGCAUAGUAAGGUGUCAAAAAUUGACAAAAAAUUUUAUAGUAUCGUAAGGUGUCAAAAAUAGACCAAAAUGCCAUAUUAUAUUAAGACAUCAAAAAAUGUCAUAGUAUAGUAAGACAACAAAAAUUGACAAAAAAUGUCAUAGUAUAGUGAGGCAUCAAAACUUGACAAAAAAUGUCAUAGUAUAGUAAGGCAUCAAAAAUUGACAAAAAUGUCAUAGUAUAGUAAGACAUCAAAAACCACCAAAAAAUGUCAUUGUAUAGUCAGGCUUUAAAAAUUGACAAAAAAUGUCAUAGUAUAGUAAGACAUCAAAAACCAUCAAAAAAUGUCAUAGCAUAGUAAGGUGUCAAAAAUUGACAAAAAAUUUUAUAGUAUCGUAAGGUGUCAAAAAUAGACCAAAAUGCCAUAUUAUAUUAAGACAUCAAAAAAUGUCAUAGUAUAGUAAGACAACAAAAAUUGACAAAAAAUGUCAUAGUAUAGUGAGGCAUCAAAACUUGACAAAAAAUGUCAUAGUAUAGUAAGGCAUCAAAAAUUGACAAAAAUGUCAUAGUAUAGUAAGACAUCAAAAACCACCAAAAAAUGUCAUUGUAUAGUCAGGCUUUAAAAAUUGACAAAAAAUGUCAUAGUAUAGUAAGACAUCAAAAACCAUCAAAAAAUGUCAUAGCAUAGUAAGGUGUCAAAAAUUGACAAAAAAUUUUAUAGUAUCGUAAGGUGUCAAAAAUAGACCAAAAUGCCAUAUUAUAUUAAGACAUCAAAAAAUGUCAUAGUAUAGUAAGAAAACAAAAAUUGACAAAAAAUGUCAUAGUAUAGUGAGGCA